rnacentral:rRNA from 1 species
CACGUAGGGCGCAAGCGUUGUCCGGAAUUAUUGGGCGUAAAGAGCUCGUAGGCGGUCCGUCACGUCCGCUGUGAAAACCCAGGGCUCAACCCUGGGCUUGCAGUGGAUACGGGCAGACUAGAGGUAGGUAGGGGAGAAUGGAAUUCCCGGUGUAGCGGUGAAAUGCGCAGAUAUCAGGAGGAACACCGAUGGCGAAGGCAGGUCUCUGGGCCACUACUGACGCUGAGAAGCGAAAGCAUGGGGAGCGAACAGG